UUCUCAGGUACAGUUUAUGUCGUCCUGUCAUCAGUCAUAAUGUCUCAGAUGACAACUGAACUGACAUACAUACUCAUUACGUUCCCAAGCAUAUUUCCAACUGGUUUUAUUACCAAAAUAUGGUUCCUUUUCCCCAUUUGUUUGAUGUUCCCAGACUCUCUAUAUUUAACACAGGCUAUUCAAGUCCUUCAGUAGGGUCAGAGAGGGGAAGGGAGAAAGAAGAGGUCAGCUGGAUGGAGAAAGAAGCUGUCGUGGAAGAGGAGACUGUUUCGAUACAAAAACAAGUGGAGGGUGAGGCUGUUACUGUGAAAGAAGAAGAGAAAGACGUUUCAGUGAAAGAAGAGGAGAGAGACGGGACUAUCUUGGAUCCUCUGGGGAGCCUCAACAACAUCAUGAAGCUGAUGAGG
rnacentral:lncRNA from 1 species